AAUUAUUUAUUCAAGAAAGGGCGUUUUGGAGAAGCGACGCGGGUGACGGGGAAGAUGGUGCAAGUCCAUCACGGUGCCGCCACUGUAAGCGGGGAGUAAUUCUGCAUCAUGCCACUGUCUGAAGACCGUGAUCAGUGAUCAGUGAUGAGUAAUGGGUGGGAAUAGGUACGCCUAUUCCGAACCGGUCACUCUUCACACAUCACUCAUCACAGUGAGAUGGGAAGGCGCAAAAACACGACGAUCCGCAAGUCAGGAGACCCAUCCCGCAGUUGGUUCGACU
rfam:Nitrospirae bacterium RBG_19FT_COMBO_58_9 rbg_19ft_combo_scaffold_48378, whole genome shotgun sequence.